GGAAGCCGGUGGGAUCCCGGCGCGGUCGCGCCACUGUAUGUCCGGUUAUGACCAGCCCAUCGGGGCCGGGGCCGGAUAAGCCAGAC
rnacentral:ncRNA from 1 species